CAUAAUCCGACAGGAUUUGUCUCCUUCCUCGUCACGGCUGGUUUCGGCGCUAAAGAUGGGCCUCCGCCUCCCUGGAGAUGAGCCAAUCAGAGAUGGAACGGACAGAGCGGUCGCCAGCCAUGGGUCCACCUUCCCAGAGCCGAACCCUUCAUGUGCUGUUAUUGGGGUGCCUGACAGCCGAAGUCAAAGGCAGCUCCCAGGGGAAGCAUGUGAGGCCUGAAGAAGAAAUCAGCGGCCAGAGCAGCACACCCACACAGCUGUGGGUCGGCGCAGUGAUUUCGGCGCAGCGAACAAUGGAGGGAGCGGGACGGCCGGGAUCUCGACACGGGGCUCGACCCCACUGCAUGAGGAAGACGGCGGAGGGGAGGCGGAGAAGAAGACGCGGCUGCGCUGUGAUGGCAGGGAAACCUUUAUUAGGGAAUGUUGUUGUCAAACGGCCUCGUCGCGUCCCUUGGCUUCCCGUGCAUUUCGGCCCGAAAUAUCGUUGCCCAAGUGACCCCUUCGAUGUCAGCGGUACCAGGCGAGGACAGACAGAUUUCCUAUGAUUUUUCAUUUUUAUUUUUAAAUUUAAUAGAUUAACUGUGCAGCACCGGGUCACAACAGCAUAAAAAGAGAAACGGGGCGCAGAUCAUGCAAAUUUGUCCACAUGCACGAAACAAGGGCAAGGGGUUACCGCAUUUCCAGGGUAAGAUGACAGACAGCUGUCUAAAAGGAACCGAAAAGGUGUCGAUCCAUUCCGAAACUGGCCUGAGUUAUCGUGAGGAACAAAUGUCAAUUUUUUCCAGCGAAACUGAACACUUUGCUGACCCACAUAUUAGAUUCAUGUCGAUCCCCAGGAGUACAACAGUGUAACAGAAAUACACUAGGAAUACAGUAAAAUAUACUUAGUUGCCCAGUAAGAAUAGCUCAGACCUUACCACCCGGGUUCACAACUGCACUCCUCACGCAGCGCCCCGCCCCACCCGGAGCAAUGCCAGGCGCCCCAGGCCCGCCGU